UAGAGUUUGAUUAUGGCUCAGAUUGAACGCUGGCGGCAUGCCUAACACAUGCAAGUCGAACGAACCCUUCGGGGUUAGUGGCGCACGGGUGCGUAACGCGUGGGAAUCUGCCCUUUGCUUGGAAUAACUCAGGGAAACUUGUGCUAAUACCGGAUGAUGACGUAAGUCCAAAGAUUUAUCGCCCAAGGAUGAGCCCGCGUAAGAUUAGCUAGUUGGGGGGUAAAGGCCUACCAAGGCGACGAUCUUUAGCUGGUCUGAGAGGAUGAUCAGCCACACUGGGACUGAGACACGGCCCAGACUCUACGGGAGGCAGCAGUGGGGAAUAUUGGACAAUGGGCGAAAGCCUGAUCCGCAAUGCCGCGUGAGUGAUGAAGGCCUUAGGGUUGUAAAGCUCUUUUACCAGGGAUGAUAAUGACAGUACCUGGAGAAUAAGCUCCGGCUAACUCCGUGCCAGCAGCCGCGGUAAUAC
rnacentral:rRNA from 1 species